rnacentral:ncRNA from 1 species
UUCCCGAUGUGCCGCGAAUAGCGAUAGGUGUCUUCUGGGCACCCAACAUCAUACAAUUGCAACGCACUCCGCCGCCUGUCAAAUGCUGGUGGUGGAGAGUAGGCUGACUUGUAAUUUCAAAUAUUGGGAAAGAUAAAUCCUUUGUAGACGACUUAACUACAGAACGGGGUGUUGUAAGCAUGAGAGUAGUCUUGUACUACGAUCUGCUGAGAUUUAGCCCUUGUUCUAUUGAUUUGU